rnacentral:rRNA from 1 species
UACGGGGGGGGCUAGCGUUGUUCGGAAUUACUGGGCGUAAAGGGCUCGUAGGCGGCCAACUAAGUCAUGCGUGAAAUCCCUCGGCUUAACCGGGGAACUGCGUCUGAUACUGGAUGGCUUGAAUCCGGGAGAGGGAUGCGGAAUUCCAGGUGUAGCGGUGAAAUGCGUAGAUAUCUGGAGGAACACCGGUGGCGAAGGCGGUGCUCUGGGCCGGAACUGACGCUGAGGAGCGAAAGCGUGGGGAGCGAACAGG